UCCCUGGUGGCUCAGACGGUAAAGCAUCUGCCUACAAUGCCAGAGACCCAGGUUCGAACCCUGGAUGGGGAA
rnacentral:tRNA from 1 species